GGGGCUGUAGCUCAGUUGGUAGAGCGCUUCCUUAGCGUGGAUGAGGUCUGGUGUUCAAUUCGCCACUGCUCCA
rnacentral:tRNA from 1 species